UUGUUUUUAGGUGGCUUACAAUCUGGCUAUAGCCGAAGAGCAGCUGCAGUUCGAACAUCGCGAUCUGCACUGGGGCAACGUUUUACUGAAAGAAGUGCCCAAAACCAAGACACUGAAUUAUAAACUGCAAGGAAAAACCCACAGUUGCCCUUCCCAUGGAGUUGAAGUUACACUAAUCGAUUUUACUCUAUCUCGAAUGACUCACAAUGGUGUGACGACUUUUACUGAUCUCGGAAAGGACCCCGAUCUGUUUUUAUCUGAAGGUGACUAUCAAUUUGACAUUUAUAGACUGAUGAAGGAGAGAAACAAAAAUGACUGGACAGCAUUUAUGCCUUAUUCGAACAUACUGUGGCUUCAUUAUAUUCUACGAAAAGCCAUCAAGGGAGUCAGAUAUAAAAAUCCCAAAAGCAAAGUACACCAGCGACACAUCAAACAGUUGCAGCUGUAUGAAUCCACAGUAUUGUCCUUUAGUUCGGCACGUGAAUUUGUAUGUAAAUAUUUUUAAUUUUAUGUUAAUUUGUACUGAACAUUUACCGUUUUAUUAAUCGCGUGUUUUAUACCUUUUUUAUUGUUUUACAAAAUAGACGCUAUACAGAACUUGAUAAAGUGUGUCCGCUGUGCGAGGCAACAUGUCCCUGUUUGUAGUUUAUUGUAGAAAUAAAAAAGCAGUGACAAAACCUAAAAUCAAUGGAGAACUGCAAUUGUUUUAUACGAGUGAAUAAAUACAUAUUAUGAUA